rnacentral:rRNA from 1 species
UAUGCCUCCUAAAGAGCCGUUGAAGACUACGACGUUGAUAGGUUGGAUGUGGAAGCAUAGCGAUAUGUGAAGCUGACCAAUACUAAUUGCUCGUGAGGCUUGACUAUACAACACCCAAACAGUUG